UACGUAGGGGCCUAGCGUUGUUCGGAAUUACUGGGCGUAAAGGGCGCGUAGGCGGCCAACUAAGUCAGACGUGAAAUCCCUCGGCUCAACCGGGGAACUGCGUCUGAUACUGGAUGGCUUGAAUUCGGGAGAGGGAUGCGGAAUUCCAGGUGUAGCGGUGAAAUGCGUAGAUAUCGUAAGGAAGACCAGUGGCGAAGGCGGGUCUCUGGACAGUUCCUGACGCUGAGGCACGAAGGCCAGGGGAGCAAACGGG
rnacentral:rRNA from 1 species